rnacentral:rRNA from 1 species
AACGAACGCUGGCGGCAUGCCUAACACAUGCAAGUCGAACGAGACCUUCGGGUCUAGUGGCGCACGGGUGCGUAACGCGUGGGAACCUGCCCUUAGGUUCGGAAUAACUCCCCGAAAGGGGUGCUAAUACCGGAUAAUGUCUUCGGACCAAAGAUUUAUCGCCUUUGGAUGGGCCCGCGUUGGAUUAGCUAGUUGGUAGGGUAAAAGCCUACCAAGGCGACGAUCCAUAGCUGGUCUGAGAGGAUGAUCAGCCACACUGGGACUGAGACACGGCCCAGACUCCUACGGGAGGCAGCAGUGGGGAAUAUUGGACAAUGGGCGAAAGCCUGAUCCAGCAAUGCCGCGUGAGUGAUGAAGGCCUUAGGGUUGUAAAGCCCUUUUACCCGGGAUGAUAAUGACAGUACCGGGAGAAUAAGCUCCGGCUAACUCCGU